CUGCUUCGUUCUGCAGGGCAUUCCAGUAUCACAGUAAAGAGCAACAGUGUGUGAUAAUGGCUGAAAACAGGAAGUCCUCCAUAAUCAUCAGGAUGAGAGAUGUAGUUUUAUUUGAAAAGUAAAUGUAUCUUUCAGAGUGCAAGACUGGGAAUGGAAAGAACUACAGAGGGAUGAUGUCCAAAACAAAAAAUGGCAUCACCUGUCAAAAAUGGAGUUCCACUUCUCCCCGCAGACCUAGAUAAAGAAAUGGGGGCUCAGAGCAGUCAAGAACAUGCCCCAAGUUAUUCGUCAGUGAGGCGGAAAUUGUGGUGUCCUGGUGUCUCUCACAGGGCUGCAAUCAAGAUGUUGGCAUGGCUGGGGUCUCAUCUGAAGGCUGGACUGGAGAAGAAUCUACUUCCAAACUUAUGUGGUAGUUGGAAGAAUUUAGUUCCUCAAGGCUGCUAAACUGAUGGCCUGUGUUCCUUGCCUCUGGGAUGGUAGCUUGCUUCAACAAAGUGUGCAAGCAGAGAAGACAGAGAGAGUCCGCUAGCAAGAUAGAAGCCACAAUCUCUUGUAACCUAUCAUUUUUGCUGUAUUCUACUGGUUAAAAAUAACUCAUUAGGUUAGCCUACUGGCUCUCAAGGGGAAGAGAUUAUACAAAGGCAUGAAUUUCUGGAGGAGGGAAUGAGGGCAAAGAACUCUGAAAAGUCUCUCUUCCACAAUCUGAAGAACUUCUAGAAAGUAGAAGGAAGCGAUAUUGCUUAGGGAUGGACAACUUGGCACUGGUUAUGUGUUCCAAGUGAGGUAACCUUGUUCCCAGGAAUAAAGAGAACCAGAUGACUGUAAACAUUUCCCUAAACUGAAAUGCAGACUGUUGUAUAUUCACCUGAAAUGAAUGGUGUAAGCUGAAUAUAAGAUUUUUGACAAAAUAAAAAUUUUGCUGUGUUCUCAGAUCUGGCAGGCUCCUGCCCUUGUGCAAACAAUGUUCCUGGCAGCUAUUCAUCUCCUUAGGUAAAUAAGAAUUGGAGAAAAGCUGUGCUUAGAUAGGGUGCAUUUGCUCUUGCCUUGGAAGGCUGUUUUCUGAUAAGGUUCUAUAUCCUCUGCAAAUCAAAUCAGGCACUUACAGUGUGAGCAUGCAUUCUCUUCCUGCCAGUCUGGAGAUGAUCAAAAAGCUUAUAACAGGCUUGGCCUAUUUUCCUAUUGGG